rnacentral:rRNA from 1 species
UACGAAGGGUGCAAGCGUUGUUCGGAAUUACUGGGUGUAAAGGGCGUGUAGGCUGGCGGUCAAGUUAGUGGUGAAACCCCUGGGCUUAACCUGGGAACUGCCAUUGAUACUGAUUGCCUAGAGUAUCGGAGAGGAUAACGGAAUAUCCAGUGUAGAGGUGAAAUUCGUAGAUAUUGGAUAGAACACCGGUGGCGAAGGCGGUUAUCUGGCCGGUUACUGACGCUGAGGCGCGAGAGCGUGGGGAGCAAACAGG